rnacentral:rRNA from 1 species
AUCAAAAACAUAGCUUAAUGUGCUUUAUAUUAGGUUAAUUCUGCUCAGUGAACUAAGUUUUAACAGCCGCAGUACACUGACUGUGCUAAGGUAGCAUAAUAAGUUGGCUUAUAAUUGAAGUCUAGUAUGAACGAAAUUUAAUGGGUGGUAACUGUCUCUUUAUUUUUUUACUGAACUUACUUAGAUGGUGAAAAUUCCAUCAGUUAAGAAGAAAGACGAGAAGACCCUUAGAAUUUUUAUUAAAGUGAUUUCUUUUCAUUUGUAUUAGCUGGGGCGGCUUUGUGUCAAUUUUAACACACAUUUUUUUAAAUUAAAACAUAAAAAUUUUAUUUUAUUAGGUUAAUUACCUAAGGGAUAACAGCAUAAUCUUUUUUUGGUUUGUGACCUCGAUGUUGGAUUAGGAUCUGCUCUGGUUAGCCGCCAAAGCAGAAAGUUCUGUUCGAACUGUAUCACCUACAUGAUCUGAGU